CCUACGGGAGGCUGCAGUGAGGAAUAUUGGUCAAUGGACGAGAGUCUGAACCAGCCAAGUAGCGUGAAGGAUGACUGCCCUAUGGGUUGUAAACUUCUUUUAUAUGGGAAUAAAAUGUUCCACGUGUGGGAUUUUGUAUGUACCAUAUGAAUAAGGAUCGGCUAACUCCGUGCCAGCAGCCGCGGUAAUACGGAGGAUCCGAGCGUUAUCCGGAUUUAUUGGGUUUAAAGGGAGCGUAGGUGGAUGGUUAAGUCAGUUGUGAAAGUUUGCGGCUCAACCGUAAAAUUGCAGUUGAAACUGGCAGUCUGGAGUACAGUAGAGGUGGGCGGAAUUCGUGGUGUAGCGGUGAAAUGCUUAGAUAUCACGAAGAACUCCGAGUGCGAAGGCAGCUCACUGGACUGCAACUGACACUGAGGCUCGAAAGUGUGGGUAUCAAACAGGAUUAGAUACCCCGGUAGUC
rnacentral:rRNA from 1 species